ensembl:lncRNA
CUCCGAGUCCGCGGCCAACCUGUGCUGCAACCUCCGGGUUAAUGUAUCCGCUAAUUUCAUUGGGAAAACAGGACGCCACCAUCUCUCUGUAUGCUUGGGUGUGUGUGUGUGCGUGUGUGUGUGCGUGUGUGUGUGCGUGCUUUCAUAACGCGUUGAGACAUAUUUUGACAUGAAAACUGCCAUCAGAUGCUCUUCAUUCAUUCAUGCAUUCAUGUGCAUAUACUGUAUGUGAAGUAAUACAAAAAAAAGACCAAACUAUAAACUAAUAUCCAAUUAAAAUAAUAAUGUUUGCUAUUUAGGGCGCACAGUGGCUUAGUGGUUAGCUCAUUGGCCUCCAGGGUCAGGGGUUCGAUUCCCGCCUCUGCCUUGUGUGUGCCGAGAUUGCAUGAUCUCCCUGUGCUGCGGGGGUUUCUUCCAGGUACUCUGGUUUCCUCCCCCAGUCUAAAGACAUGCAUGGUAGGCUGAUUAGCGUGUCCAUAGUGUCCAUAGUGUAUAAAUGUGUGUGUGAUUGUGCCCUGUGAUGGAUUGGCACCCUGUCCAGAGUGUACCCCGGCUUGUGCCCGAUGCUUCCUGGGCUCCAGGUUCCCCGUGACACUGUAGGAUAAUUGGUAUAGAAAAUGGAUGAAUGGAGGGAUGUUAGCUAUUUAUUCAAAAUAUUGAUAAAAUUCUAAUUCUAAGAUAUAAAAUAAUGCAUAAGCCACAAUCCAGUAAUUGUUUCUUAUAUUCUGUAAACCACACAGCUAGUUUUUUUUAUUUAUUUAUGAAUUAAUACCAUUUAUAAAAUAAUGUGUGUGUUAUUGUCACUGCAGGAAGAAAGCUCUAAAAUAGCUGAAUAUGAUGUCAUGUGAGUCACGUACACUCUCCACAUUAAAGGUGCCAUCAAGGAGACAUGUUCUGCACAUCGUUUACCUGGAAUCCUUUAAAAAAUAAUUGAAGGAACAUAACUGGACCUGAAGGACCACUAUGUUAAAAUUAAUUAAAGUGUACAUCAUGCAAUUUCUCUGUUAAAGAUACGUAUUACAGGCACAAAGCAUGUCACCUUGAUGGUAUCACUCUAGAGAAAAUGGAAAGUACAACUUCUAAGAGUGUAGGCACUAAAUAUUCAUCAAAUGAAUAAUGGAAAAUAAGUAUAAGUAUUUAAAAAAAGCAUAAUUUAAUCCCUAUUACGUUAUAUUAUCUCUAUAUUAUUAUCUAGACUGCUUUAUCUGUGCCAUGCCUGAGGGCUGAGAGUUCCAUAAAUACUCUCACAAGACAAAACGACACAAGAGAUGAAGAUUGUCAGAUCAGUUCGCUGUGAAGAAAAGUGUGUGUGAGAUGGACUCAUCAGCAGGAAAAGGAGCAGCAGAGAAUAAGAGAUGAGACGACAUGAGACGUUUGUGUGGAGUGUUUUAGAUGACAGAGGAUGAACUCUGUGUGUGUGUGUGUGUGUGUGUGUGUGUGUGUGUGUGUGUGUGUGUGUGUGUGUGUGUUUGGCUCCAGGAGCUGAGAGCGAUGAGAAAGUUCCAGAAAAUCUCACAUCUGUAGCAGCAGGGAUAGAGCUGAGCACACAGGUGAGAGAGAGAGAGAGAGAGAGUUAUUUCCUGUCUAUGAGAAAAUCCUUUGAGUGUGUUCUCCUCUUUCUGUCACACACCCCCAUAGAACACACCCUCUCUCUCUCUAACACACACACACACACACACACACACACACACACAGAAAUACACAUGCACACAUUCUUCAUAGUCUGACUCAUUUGAACUCCUCCUUCCAGGUGUUUAUGAGUUGCACAACCGCAAUACUGAUUAUUGUUAUUAGACAUUUCAGCCUAAAAUGGUGGACUGAUAUCAGAGCUGAUGUGUUUCUUGGUGCAGUAUGAAGAUAAAUUUAAUGCACCCCAUGAAAAUGUAUCAUUUAGACUGACACAAGACAUGAAUAUAGCACACACGUCUGCUUCAUAGAUUUAUAACUUCUGCCACUUUUUCGAUGCAGAGAUUCAUUUAGUUUUAAAUGCAGUAAUACCAAAGGUAUUAUUAUUGUUAUAUUAUUAUUUUCCAACAAAUGUCUAAAAAAAUUACUAGUUAGUGCAAAAUUUAACAUGAGUAAUGUGUUGUUGUUGUUGUUUUUUUCAGACUUAAUCGAGUAUAGAAAACAAAAGGGACAAGGUUUUUCAACAUACAAAACUGACGAGAAUACAGGACAAAAAUGAAAUUAAAGGAUAAAAUGUCCUCAAGACAUGUUUGGUGGUAAAGUUUUCCAUAUUUAAAUAAUAAUAAUAAUAAUAAUAAUAAUAAUAAUAAACUGAAUAGAGUAAUAAAAAAGGAGUAGAAAAUGGAGAAAUAUCCCAAAACAUGUUAAAGUAGAUUAAAAUAAAUAAAUAAAUAAAAAUAAAAAGUUAAUCCCAGUAACCUUGGAAAAAGGCAAACAAACAACAAAAAAAAAACAUCCUUUAAAUUUUUUUAAAAAAAUUUGAAUAGAUAAAAGGGAGUAUAAAAAGUAUAAAAGGG